rnacentral:rRNA from 1 species
UACGUAGGGUGCGAGCGUUUAAUCGGAAUUACUGGGCGUAAAGCGUGCGUAGACGGUUGCGUAAGUCAGAUGUGAAAGCCCCGGGCUCAACCUGGGAAUUGCAUUUGAGACUGCGUAGCUAGGGUGCGGAAGAGGGAAGCGGAAUUUCCGGUGUAGCGGUGAAAUGCGUAGAUAUCGUAAGGAAGACCAGUGGCGAAGGCGGGUC